CUUCAACGCGCCCAGCCGCAGCGGCUGUUCGCUGCCGCGCUCCCGCCCGUACGUGGCGAUGAGCGCCUGUGCCUC
rnacentral:antisense_RNA from 1 species